rnacentral:rRNA from 1 species
AUUGAACGCUGGCGGCAGGCUUAACACAUGCAAGUCGAGCGGAGAUGAGGUGCUUGCACCUUAUCUUAGCGGCGGACGGGUGAGUAAUGCUUAGGAAUCUGCCUAUUAGUGGGGGACAACAUUCCGAAAGGAAUGCUAAUACCGCAUACGUCCUACGGGAGAAAGCAGGGGAUCUUCGGACCUUGCGCUAAUAGAUGAGCCUAAGUCGGAUUAGCUGGUUGGUGGGGUAAAGGCCUACCAAGGCGACGAUCUGUAGCGGGUCUGAGAGGAUGAUCCGCCACACUGGGACUGAGACACGGCCCAGACUCCUACGGGAGGCAGCAGUGGGGAAUAUUGGACAAUGGGGGGAACCCUGAUCCAGCCAUGCCGCGUGUGUGAAGAAGGCCUUAUGGUUGUAAAGCACUUUAAGCGAGGAGGAGGCUACAGAGACUAAUACUCUUGGAUAGUGGACGUUACUCGCAGAAUAAGCACCGGCUAACUCUGUGCCAGCCGCCGCAGUAA